rnacentral:rRNA from 1 species
UGGGGAAUAUUGCACAAUGGGGGAAACCCUGAUGCAGCGACGCCGCGUGAACGAAGAAGGUAUUCGUAUCGUAAAGUUCUGUCCUAUGGGAAGAUAAUGACAGUACCAUAGAAGAAAGCUCCGGCUAAAUACGUGCCAGCAGCCGCGGUAAUACGUAUGGAGCGAGCGUUGUCCGGAAUUAUUGGGCGUAAAGGGUACGCAGGCGGUUUAAUAAGUCGAAUGUUAAAGAUCGGGGCUCAACCCCGUAAAGCAUUGGAAACUGAUAAACUUGAGUAGUGGAGAGGAAAGUGGAAUUCCUAGUGUAGUGGUGAAAUACGUAGAUAUUAGGAGAAAUACCAGUAGCGAAGGCGACUUUCUGGACACAAACUGACGCUGAGGUACGAAAGCGUGGGGAGCAAACAGG